GGCAGGGGGAAACCAGCCGUCUGCACAGGAACAGGGGUUUAUUCCAAAUACGGGUCUUGCCCGGUUACCACCAACCUGUGGAACUGCCAGCUGUCUCCAUGGCUUUGCCACAGUGCUGCUCCUGGCCUGGCAAAGGGACUCAUUGCACAAAGAAGCCAGGUGACAGUGUGCUGCAGUCUGGCUGGGCACAAAUCACGAGCCACUGAAGCAGGAACAAACUUUAUUUCUGAACUCCACCAGCACAUUCCACACACGCUCCCCGGGAACUCUCUCGAACGCUGCGCGGCUCCUCCAGGAACCACCAACCGGAAAUCCCUCCUUCGGCACUUCCCCAACCAAUGCGAACUCUUCAGGAAUCCCCGCGAGAGCUCAACUGGAACUCAAUGAGAACUCCGCGAGAACUCAAAAGUCAUCAUCUUAAUGGCUCGCUGGCGUCACCUCUCAACCACUACUUCUGGCAAAAAUGCCAUGCAUCAUCCCGACUCGGCUGUGGCCCUCAACAACAGUGUGACAUGUGGACUUCACACCCCUCACCCAGAGGCAACCUGUCAUCCAGAGCAAUGGAGCCUCAAAGCCAGUGGAGACUGGUUGGGUACCAAGGGAAGCCAGUGGCACGCAAGGCUGAGGGCUGACCUGCUGACCUGCUGGACGGGCCUCACACCCAGUCCUCCCAUAGGUAGGCACCCCGGGCCCCGUGCAAGGCUGCUGCACCCCAGGACACCUGCAAGCUUUGUAAUUCUUGCUUUUCCUCCCAUGACAGUAGGCUCUGCUGGCUUCGAGGUCUUUGUGCCCAAGAGAAAACACAACCAUCACACCAUGUUGGCUGGGGUAGCUGAUUCCGAAUAAAAAGGGAAAUAGGGCUGAGAGAGUGCCCUGGGGCUCACAGGACUUGGG
rnacentral:lncRNA from 1 species